ensembl:lncRNA CT69 cancer/testis associated transcript 69
GGGCGCUGUGGCUCAAGCCUGUAAUCCCAGCACUUUGGGAGGACGAGGCAGGCAGAACACCUGAGGUGAGAAGUUUGAGACCAGCCUGGCCAACAUGGCCAAACCUUGUCUCUACUGAAAAUAUAAAAAUUAGCCAGGCAUGGUGGCGAGCGCCUGUAAUCCCACCUACUCUGGAGGCUGAGGCAGAAGAAUCUCUUGAACCUGGAAGGCGGAGGUUGCAGUGAGCCGAGAUCACACCACUGCCCUCCAGCCUGGGCGACAGAACAAGACUCCGUGUCAGAAAAAAAAAAAGAAAAGAAAAGAAAAAGAAAAAGAAAAGAACUCGGUGGAGCACAAGUAGCUGAGUAAUGCCCCAGAAGCCGGCAUCAUUGUUGGACAGCUCAGAUGUUCAGGAUGUUUCAUUUUGAGCCUACCUCAUUGGAAUUUCAAAAUAUUGGCCUCUUUGGAGCAAUACAGAGCAAGUCUGUUCCUUCAAGUAGAUGAAAAGCUCCCUGCAUGUCUUCCAUUGGACUUCUCCCCUUUAGCUUAAAAAUAUCCACAGUCCUGAAACAUGGCUCAGAAGCAGAUAUUACCCAAACCCUACUCUUAAAGCUCGGCCAGCCAGCCACAUGCAGGACCCUGAAGCAAAUAAGAGGCAGUGACCUGAGAAGCUACGUAUUGACACGGCGCUACCACGGGUGGAGGAGCCUGCAUUGCUGAAUCACAGGAUGAAGGCGAAUCCCUGCCAGCCUCCAUCCAUCUCUGGGGUGCUUAGCAGAAUCCUCAGCUCACAAGAUGAAUAAAUGCAGACUAAAUGAUGCACAAAUAAUCUUCACACACAACCAUCAACACAUGGAAAGACUGCAGGACGGCCAGAUCCCAAGCUAACAAACAGGGGAAGAUGAUGUUUCAAAUGAUCAUCUGAAUGCUGGGUUUCCACCUUCCACCAGGAAGUCAUAUGGUCAAAUUAUCCCGGAUCCUGAAAUAUAUCUUUUGAUAGAAAUGACUCUGGUACUUUCCGCAACUUACUUUCUAUGGAGCACUUUCCUGAAACAAGAUUUGUGUUUAAAUAUUCCUCCUUCUACAAAGUAUUAAACAGUAGUAAGUUCUGCAACGUUGACAAUGGAAACCUGGCAAUGUGCCCUUGUUUGACUAUUAAGGAAUUGCUUCCAAGUACCACAGGGCCUUGAAGACCAAAAUAACACAAUUACCUGGAAGGUGAACAAUGGCAACUUAUCAGGUGUGGUAAACACUUUUUUCCCAAGAAGAUCCUUUAUUCCUUCUGAAUGCACAUCAAGAAGGAGUGAAUACAUAAAUCACAUAUUUGUUAAUAA